rnacentral:pre_miRNA from 1 species
UUUCUUACAGACCCUUGUCAUUCUCACGCCCGGUGUUGUCAUUUCGCUACUGGACGGAGAACUGAUAAGGGCUUGUGGGUAU